GCAAUGCUGGAGUUAAAUUCUAAGAAUGUAGAACACUCACUCAAGAUCUUCCUUUAUUCCUGCCCACUUUGUCACAGGCAGAACAACGUAGGAGUGGAGAUGUGAUCUCCAGAGCCACACUGUCUCGUUCGAAUCCUGGCCCCAUUGCAAACUAUCUGGAAUGCCUGAGUUUUGUCAAGCCCAUGGCCACCCAGCCAGUGACUACAUUUCCCGGUUUCCUGUAUAGCUAGGCAUAGCCAUGUGACGAAAUUCUGGCCAAUGGAAUGCCACUGUGAAGAGAAUGAAACUGAAAUAUGUAGAACAUUCUCGGCCUCUCUGAGGAUGGGUGGAAUCAGAACAGAG